UACGGGGGGGCAAGCGUUGUUCGGAAUUACUGGGCGUAAAGGGCGCGUAGGCGGCCUUCUAAGUCGGACGUGAAAUCCCUCGGCUUAACCGAGGAACUGCGUCCGAUACUGAAAGGCUUGAAUCCGGGAGAGGGAUGUGGAAUUCCAGGUGUAGCGGUGAAAUGCGUAGAUAUCUGGAGGAACACCGGUGGCGAAGGCGGCAUCCUGGACCGGUAUUGACGCUGAGGCGCGAAAGCUAGGGGAGCAAACGGGGAUUAAGAAACCCUUG
rnacentral:rRNA from 1 species